GGGGAUUUAGCUCAGCGGUAGAGCGCUUGCCUAGGAAGCGCAAGGCCCUGGGUUCGGUCCCCAGCUCCCA
rnacentral:tRNA from 1 species